rnacentral:rRNA from 1 species
GUUGAUCCUGCGGGAGACCGUUGCUCGAGGGAUUCGUUAAUCAUGCAAGUCGGAGCGUAAGCUCGGCGGAAGGCUCAGUAACACGUCAGUAAUCUACCCUUAAGUAUGGGAUAACUUCGGGAAACUGAAGAUAAUACCGUAUGGUCUACGCAUGCUGGAAUGCAGCGUAGUUAAAAGCUUCGGCGCUUAAGGAUGAGCUGGCGGCAGAUUAGGUAGUUGGUGGUGUAAAGGACCACCAAGCCAGAGGUCUGUAAGGGGAAUGAGAGUUCGAGCCCUGAGAAGGACACUGAGAAAAGGGUCCUAGCCCUACGGGGUGCAGCAGAUACGAAGUCUCUACAAUGCGCGUAAGCGUGAUAGGGGAAUCCCUCGUGUUAGCACAAUGUGUUAACUUUUAUGGAGUGUAAGGUGCUCUGUGAAUAAGGGGUGGGUAAGCCGGUGCCAGCCGCCGCGGUAAUCCCGGCGCCCCAAGUGACGGUCGUUUUUAUUAGGUCUAAAGCAUCCGUAGCCGGUUUGCUAAGUUCUCAGUUAAAUUCGGCAGCUUAACUGUCGAUUCGCUGGGAAUACUGGUAAACUUGAGACUGGGAGGAGCUAGAGGAAUGCCUUGGGGAGCGGUAAAAUGCUGUAAUCCAAGGUGGACCAUCAGUGGCGAAGGCGUCUAGCUAGAACAGGUCUGACGGUCAGGGAUGAAAGCUAGGGGAGCAAAGAGGAUUAGAUACCCUCGUAGUCCUAGCUGUAAACGCUGCUUGCUUGGUGUUGCGAAUUUUUCGGAAAUUUGCAGUGCCGAAGCGAAGGUAAUAAGCAAGCCACCUGGGAAGUACGGUCGCAAGGCUGAAACUUAAAGGAAUAGGCGGGGGAGCACUACAAGGGGUGCGUGUUGCGGUUUAAUUGGAUUCAACGCCCGGAACCUUACCAGCGGCGACAGCAGAAUGAAGGUCGGUCUGAAUGGCCCACUCGACACGCUGAGCGGUGUUACAUGGCCGUCGUCGGCUCGUGCCGUGAGGUGUUCGGUUAAGUCCGAGAACGAGCAAGACCUGUAUCUUUAGUUGCUAUCGGCUUUAUUUGAGGUCGAGCACACUAAAGAGACUGCGUGCGUAAGCACGAGGAAGGUGCAGGCCACGGUAGGUCUGUAUGGCCCUAAUCCGCUGGGCUACACGCGACAGGCAAUGGUUAGCACAACGAGCUGCAACUCCGAAAGGAGAAGCUAAUCUCUUAAAGCUAAUCUUGUAUGAAUCGAGGAUUGCAAUUCAUCCUCGUGAAAGCGAAAUCCCUAGUAAACGUACGUUAGCAACGCGCGUUGAAUACGUCCCUGUUCCUUGCACUCACCACCCGUCAACCCAUCCAAGUGAGGUCUAAAUGAGGCUUUAUCUUUCGGUAAGGUCGAGUUUAGGCUUCGUGAGGCGGGGU